CAGGAACCGCAAACUCAACAAAAAAAAGCUGAAGGUCAAAGGACAUCAAGGGUAAUCGGAAAUCUAUGCCAGCAAGGUGGGCAAAGAGGCCAUGGACAUUAACAAGGAGAAUGAUUGCCAAAGAAAUGAGAAAAAGAACAAGACCAGAUAUUGGUUCAGAUGAAAUAUUUGAGAAGCAAAAGCACAACAAAACACAAUAGUUGCAAAUAGAUAGAGCCCUGCGUUAAUGUACUAGCACCGGUUCCUACUGUGGCCUGUGCCAUAGGUUCGAAAGUCUCUUGCUGAUGCUAGCUUCACCAUUUGUGAUAUGAGGUUUGUCUCAAAAGUGGAAGUUAAUUUUGUGUUGUUUGAUGAAGAGAGUGUGUG
rnacentral:lncRNA from 1 species